rnacentral:snRNA from 1 species
GGAUGUGAGGGCGAUCUGGCUGCGCCAUCUGUCACCCCACUGAUCACCAGGGCAGAUUCGGCUGAUCUGGCUGGCUAGGCGGGUGUCCCCUUCCUCCCUCACUGCUCCAUGUGCGUCCCUCCCGGAGCUGCACACUCAGUCGGUCGGUCGAAGAGGACGGCCCUCCCUGAGUAGAGACGGACCAGUCCUCCGUCGAGGGUGUACGAGUAGCUGUGCUCCCCUGCUAGAACCUCCAAACAAGCUCCCAGAUGUAUCCAUACUUUCAGCUCACAGGGGCUGGAGUUUCUAACACCCAAACUGGUGAAAGGUUAACUAUCAAGUGGUCUUU